AAGCUUGCUUGGUGGAUCAGUGGCGAACGGGUGAGUAACACGUGAGCAACCUGCCCUGAACUCUGGGAUAAGCGCUGGAAACGGCGUCUAAUACUGGAUAUGAGCUGCGGAGGCAUCUUCGUGGUUGGAAAGAUUUUUCGGUUUGGGAUGGGCUCGCGGCCUAUCAGCUUGUUGGUGAGGUAAUGGCUCACCAAGGCGUCGACGGGUAGCCGGCCUGAGAGGGUGACCGGCCACACUGGGACUGAGACACGGCCCAGACUCCUACGGGAGGCAGCAGUGGGGAAUAUUGCACAAUGGGCGGAAGCCUGAUGCAGCAACGCCGCGUGAGGGAUGACGGCCUUCGGGUUGUAAACCUCUUUUAGCAGGGAAGAAGCGAAAGUGACGGUACCUGCAGAAAAAGCGCCGGCUAACUACGUGCCAGCAGCCGCGGUAAUACGUAGGGCGCAAGCGUUAUCCGGAAUUAUUGGGCGUAAAGAGCUCGUAGGCGGUUUGUCGCGUCUGCUGUGAAAACCCGAGGCUCAACCUCGGGCCUGCAGUGGGUACGGGCAGACUAGAGUGCGGUAGGGGAGAUUGGAAUUCCUGGUGUAGCGGUGGAAUGCGCAGAUAUCAGGAGGAACACCGAUGGCGAAGGCAGAUCUCUGGGCCGUAACUGACGCUGAGGAGCGAAAGGGUGGGGAGCAAACAGGCUUAGAUACCCUGGUAGUCCACCCCGUAAACGUUGGGAACUAGUUGUGGGGUCCAUUCCACGGAUUCCGUGACGCAGCUAACGCAUUAAGUUCCCCGCCUGGGGAGUACGGCCGCAAGGCUAAAACUCAAAGGAAUUGACGGGGACCCGCACAAGCGGCGGAACAUGCGGAUUAAUUCGAUGCAACGCGAAAAACCUUACCAAGGCUUGACAUACACGAGAACGCUGCAGAAAUGUAGAACUCUUUGGACACUCGUGAACAGGUGGUGCAUGGUUGUCGUCAGCUCCGGGUCGGGAGAUGU
rnacentral:rRNA from 1 species